rnacentral:rRNA from 1 species
AGGACGAACGCUGGCGGCGUGCUUAACACAUGCAAGUCGAGCGAGGCCCUGUCUUCGGACAGGUGCCCUAGCGGCGAACGGGUGAGUAACACGUGGGCAACCUGCCCCUAGCACUGGGAUAACUCCGGGAAACCGGGGCUAAUACCAGAUAUGACCUCCGAGGGCAUCCUCGUUGGUGUAAAGGAUUCUGGCUAGGGAUGGGCCCGCGGCCUAUCAGCUUGUUGGUGGGGUAACGGCCUACCAAGGCGACGACGGGUAGCCGGCCUGAGAGGGCGACCGGCCACACUGGGACUGAGACACGGCCCAGACUCCUACGGGAGGCAGCAGUGGGGAAUAUUGCACAAUGGGCGAAAGCCUGAUGCAGCGACGCCGCGUGAGGGAUGACGGCCUUCGGGUUGUAAACCUCUUCAGCUCCGACGAAGCGAAGUGACGGUAGGAGCGAGAAGAAGCACCGGCCAACUACGCGCCAGCAGCCGCGGUAA